rnacentral:rRNA from 1 species
AUGAGUGAACCAUGGUUAGUGUUUGGGGACUUUAAUGAAAUAUUAUUCACCCAUGAGAAGGAGGGAGGAGCAGUAAGAGAGCAAAGAUGUAUGCAAGCUUUUAGAGAUGCCAUGUCAGACUGUGAUCUUGAUGAUCUGGGAGCCAUGGGGGAUGCAUAUACAUGGAGCAGAGGGAGAAUUAAGGAAAGGUUGGAUAGAGCCAUCUGCAACUCAUGGUGGAAUCAGUUGUUCCCUAAUGUGGGUGUCACUAAUGGUGAGAUGACUAAAUCUGAUCACCGGCCGUUGGUAAUUAAUACUGAAUAUUACGCGGAGCAAAUCGAUACCACAGGGCAUCGAAGAGAUUUGAGGGGAGAUGGCUGA